rnacentral:rRNA from 1 species
GAUGAACGCUGGCGGCGUGCCUAAUACAUGCAAGUCGAGCGAACUGAUUAGAAGCUUGCUUCUAUGACGUUAGCGGCGGACGGGUGAGUAACACGUGGGCAACCUGCCUGUAAGACUGGGAUAACUUCGGGAAACCGAAGCUAAUACCGGAUAGGAUCUUCUCCUUCAUGGGAGAUGAUUGAAAGAUGGUUUCGGCUAUCACUUACAGAUGGGCCCGCGGUGCAUUAGCUAGUUGGUGAGGUAACGGCUCACCAAGGCAACGAUGCAUAGCCGACCUGAGAGGGUGAUCGGCCACACUGGGACUGAGACACGGCCCAGACUCCUACGGGAGGCAGCAGUAGGGAAUCUUCCGCAAUGGACGAAAGUCUGACGGAGCAACGCCGCGUGAGUGAUGAAGGCUUUCGGGUCGUAAAACUCUGUUGUUAGGGAAGAAUAACUGGAGGAGUGGAAAGCCUCUGGGAUGACGUUAGCCUGCGAAUAAGCCCCGGCCAAUUACGUGCCAGCAGCCGCAGUAACAC